rnacentral:lncRNA from 1 species
UUGAGUACCAUAUAAUAGCUUAUUUACCCUAUGAUCAGUUUGUAUAAAUUUAAUCAUUAAUACUUUUUCAUUGUGUUUUAGUUGGAGUGAAGUAUCAAUGAGUUUUAUAAAUAUCUGGAAUUGAUUACAGAAGAGAAAUAUAGGAACCAGAGCCCUAUAAGAAGAGUUACGUCACAAGAUUUCAGUACCCCCUUGUGACAGAUAUCAAAUGGCCCAAAAAGAACUUAAUACAAUAAAUGAAUAUUAAAAAAAUAAUUUUAUUGAGCUUACUUAAUUUCGCAUACACAUUCUUCGUCUUCCGAAAGUAGAAGAAGCAAUUCUAUUUUCUUUUGAUAAUCGCAGUUUGCAUUCGUAAAUGACAUUUGGCAACAUUUAUAUACGACUUAAUUAAUGGGACAGCUACUUCAGUUAUUGAGUUUACAAUUUUUUUCAUUUUUUUAAAUUGAUUUACAUAAGAUUUGGUUCCUCAACAAAUCUUAACUGAAGUGAAUUAUGGAUGGUUUUAUUAGACCAAAGGCGGAUUUUGGAAUGUGAAGACUUGCAACUUAAAAAAAUUUAUAUGGUUUGAAUUAAAUACCGGAGAGAAGCGCAUUUUUAAAGACUUAAACUUUGGUUCUGCGUCCCAAAU